rnacentral:rRNA from 1 species
GAUGAACGCUGGCGGCGUGCUUAACACAUGCAAGUCGAACGGAAAGGCUCCUGCUUGCAGGGGUACUCGAGUGGCGAACGGGUGAGUAACACGUGGGUAAUCUACCCUGCACUUCGGGAUAGGCUUGGGAAACUGGGUCUAAUACCGGAUAGGAUCCCAUUUUGGAUGGUGAGCUGGAAAGCUUUUCGGUGUGGGAUGGGCUCGGGGCCUAUCAGCUUGUUGGUGGGGUACUGGCUUAAGAAGGCGUCGACGGGUAGCCGGCCUGAGAGGGUGUACGGCCACAUUGGGACUGAGGUACGGCCCAGACGCGAACGGGAGGCAAGGGGGGGGAGGAUGACACAAUAGGAGCAAGCCUGAUGCGGCGACGCCGCGUGGGGGAAGACGGGCUGUGGGUAGUGAACUCCAGCCGCUUGAGACGAAGCGGUAGUGACGGUACCUGGAGAAGAAGCACCGGCUAACUACGUG